rnacentral:rRNA from 2 species
GGGUUGUGAGGUUAAGCGACUAAGCGUACACGGUGGAUGCCCUGGCAGUCAGAGGCGAUGAAGGACGUGCUAAUCUGCGAAAAGCGUCGGUAAGGUGAUAUGAACCGUUACAGCCGGCGAUGUCCGAAUGGGGAAACCCAGUGCAAUUCGUUGCACUAUCGUUAACUGAAUACAUAGGUUAACGAGGCGAACCGGGGGAACUGAAACAUCUAAGUACCCCGAGGAAAAGAAAUCAACCGAGAUUCCCCCAGUAGCGGCGAGCGAACGGGGAGCAGCC